AUGCUGAGGUUCGAUGACGAGUCACUACGGUGAUGAAGUAGCUCAUGCCCCGCUUCCAGGAAAAGCCUCUAAGCUCUAGAUUAUCAUUAAUCGUACCCCAAACCGACACAGGUGGUCAGGUAGAGAAUACUCAGGCGCUUGAGAGAACUCGGGUGAAGGAACUAGGCAAAAUGGUGCCGUAACUUCGGGAGAAGGCACGCUGGCGCUAGGUGAAGUCCCUUGCGGAUGGAGCUGAAGCCAGUCGCAGAUACCAGCUGGCUGCAACUGUUUAUUAAAAACACAGCACUGUGCAAACACGAAAGUGGACGUAUACGGUGUGACGCCUGCCCGGUGCUGGAAGGUUAAUUGAUGGGGUUAUCCGUAAGGAGAAGCUCUUGAUCGAAGCCCCAGUAAACGGCGGCCGUAACUAUAACGGUCCUAAGGUAGCGAAAUUCCUUGUCGGGUAAGUUCCGACCUGCACGAAUGGCGUAAUGAUGGCCAGGCUGUCUCCACCCGAGACUCAGUGAAAUUGAACUCGCUGUGAAGAUGCAGUGUACCCGCGGCAAGACGGAAAGACCCCGUGAACCUUUACUAUAGCUUGACACUGAACAUUGAGCCUUGAUGUGUAGGAUAGGUGGGAGGCUUCGAAGCGUGGACGCCAGUCUGCGUGGAGCCAACCUUGAAAUACCACCCUUUAAUGUUUGAUGUUCUAACGUUGCCCCAUUAUCUGGGGUGCGGACAGUGUCUGGUGGGUAGUUUGACUGGGGCGGUCUCCUCCCAAAGAGUAACGGAGGAGCACGAAGGUUGGCUAAGCAUGGUCGGACAUCAUGCGGUUAGUGCAAAGGCAUAAGCCAGCUUGACUGCGAGAGUGACGGCUCGAGCAGGUACGAAAGUAGGUCUUAGUGAUCCGGUGGUUCUGAAUGGAAGGGCCAUCGCUCAACGGAUAAAAGGUACUCCGGGGAUAACAGGCUGAUACCGCCCAAGAGUUCAUAUCGACGGCGGUGUUUGGCACCUCGAUGUCGGCUCAUCACAUCCUGGGGCUGAAGUAGGUCCCAAGGGUACGGCUGUUCGCCGUUUAAAGUGGUACGCGAGCUGGGUUUAGAACGUCGUGAGACAGUUCGGUCCCUAUCUGCCGUGGGCGUUGGAAGAUUGAAAGGGGCUGCUCCUAGUACGAGAGGACCGGAGUGGACGCACCACUGGUGUUCGGGUUGUCAUGCCAAUGGCAUUGCCCGGUAGCUAAGUGCGGAAGAGAUAACCGCUGAAAGCAUCUAAGCGGGAAACUUGCCUUGAGAUGAGUCUUCCCUGACCCUUUAAGGGUCCUAAAGGAACGUUUAAGACUAAGACGUUGAUAGGUUGGGUGUGUAAGCAUAGCGAUAUGUUGAGCUAACCAAUACUAAUGAACCGUGAGGCUUAACCUG
rnacentral:rRNA from 1 species